AAAUUGAAGAGUUUGAUCAUGGCUCAGAUUGAACGCUGGCGGCAGGCCUAACACAUGCAAGUCGAACGGUAACAGGAAGCAGCUUGCUGCUUUGCUGACGAGUGGCGGACGGGUGAGUAAUGUCUGGGAAACUGCCUGAUGGAGGGGGAUAACUACUGGAAACGGUAGCUAAUACCGCAUAACGUCGCAAGACCAAAGAGGGGGACCUUCGGGCCUCUUGCCAUCGGAUGUGCCCAGAUGGGAUUAGCUAGUAGGUGGGGUAACGGCUCACCUAGGCGACGAUCCCUAGCUGGUCUGAGAGGAUGACCAGCCACACUGGAACUGAGAC
rnacentral:rRNA from 1 species